GACGUAGGGGGCCAGCGUUGCUCGGAAUUACUGGGUGUAAAGGGAGCGUAGGCGGACAGUUUAGUCAGAGGUGAAAGCCCAGGGCUCAACCCUGGAAUUGCCUUUGAUACUGAUUGUCUUGAGUAUGGGAGAGGUGAGUGGAACUCCGAGUGUAGAGGUGAAAUUCGUAGAUAUUCGGAAGAACACCAGUGGCGAAGGCGACUCACUGGCCCAUUACUGACGCUGAGGCUCGAAAGCGUGGGGAGCAAACAGG
rnacentral:rRNA from 1 species